UGGUUCUGGCAUCGAUGAAGAACGCAGCGAAAUGCGAUAAGUAGUGUGAAUUGCAGAAUUCAGUGAAUCAUCGAAUCUUUGAACGCACAUUGCGCCCUUCGGUAUUCCGUUGGGCAUGCCUGUUCGAGCGUCAUUAGAAACUUCAAGCUCAGCUUGGUGUUGGGUGCUUGUCCCCUAUUAGGGGACUCACCUCAAAUACAUUGGCGGCCGGUAUGUUGGCUACAGCGCAGUACAACGCGUCUGGCGUCUUGAUAUACUGGUCCUCCAGAAGCCACUUCUUUUGCUUGACCUCGGAUCAGGUAGGGAUACCCGCUGA
rnacentral:misc_RNA from 1 species